UACGGAGGAUGCAAGCGUUAUCCGGAAUGAUUGGGCGUAAAGCGUCCGCAGGUGGCUGUGUAAGUCUGCUGUUAAAGAGUCAUGCUCAACAUGAUAAGAGCAGUGGAAACUACACGGCUAGAGUGCGUUCGGGGCAGAGGGAAUUCCUGGUGUAGCGGUGAAAUGCGUAGAGAUCAGGAAGAACACCGGUGGCGAAAGCGCUCUGCUAGGCCGCAACUGACACUGAGGGACGAAAGUUAGGGGAGCGAAUGGG
rnacentral:rRNA from 1 species